rnacentral:rRNA from 1 species
AUUGUGACCUUACCUAUGUUCUGUUGCCUCGGCGGCGUGGUCAGCGCCCCUCUGAAAAGAGGACGAUGCCCUCCCGCCGGCAGCACCAAACUCUUUGAAUUUUACAGCGGAUUACAGUUCUGAUUUGAAAACAAAAAAACAAGUUAAAACUUUCAACAACGGAUCUCUUGGUUCUGGCAUCGAUGAAGAACGCAGCGAAAUGCGAUAAGUAAUGUGAAUUGCAGAAUUCAGUGAAUCAUCGAAUCUUUGAACGCACAUUGCGCCCGGCAGUAAUCUGCCGGGCAUGCCUGUCCGAGCGUCAUUUCAACCCUCGAACCUCCGUUUCCUCAGGGAAGCUCAGGGUCGGUGUUGGGGCGCUACGGCGAGUCUUCGCGACCCUCCGUAGGCCCUGAAAUACAGUGGCGGUCCCGCCGCGGUUGCCUUCUGCGUAGUAAGUCUCUUUUGCAAGCUCGCAUUGGGUCCCGGCGGAGGCCUGCCGUCAAACCACCUAUAACUCCAGAUGGUUUGACCUCGGAUCAGGUAGGGUUACCCGCUGAACUUAAGCAUAUCAAUAAGCGAGGGAAAAAGGAAA